AGAGCGGGAGUGCAGAUAAC
rnacentral:miRNA from 1 species